rnacentral:other from 1 species
UGAGAGGCGCUAUGCGUUUCUUUAACGAAGGCCGGGUGGCCUUCGUAAUUUUUCGUUUUUAUUUGGAAGUUUCAAUGUCUGAAGUAGCGACCGGUACGGUCAAAUGGUUCAAUGAAGCCAAAGGUUUCGGGUUCAUCACGCCAGCUAACGGUGGUGAAGAUCUGUUCGCCCAUUACCGUGCCAUCGAAGGGGGCGGUUUCCGUACCCUGAAAGAAGGCCAGCAAGUGCAGUUCGAAGUCAAAGAAGGUCCCAAGGGCCUGCAGGCUGCUGCAAUCCGCCCGCUGUAAAGCGCGCCAAGAAUAUUCGAAGGCCAGCAGAUUGCUGGCCUUUUUUG